rnacentral:rRNA from 1 species
AUUGAACGCUGGCGGCAGGCCUAACACAUGCAAGUCGAACGGUAACAGGAAGCAGCUUGCUGCUUCGCUGUCGAGUGGCGGACGGGUGUGACAUGUCUGUGAAACUGCCUGAUGGAGGGGGAUAACUCCUGGAAACGGUAGCUAUUACCGCAUAACGUCGCAAGCCCAAAGAGGGGGACCUUAGGGCCUCUUGCCAUCGGCUGUGCCCAGAUGGGAUUAGCUAGUAGGUGGGGUAACGGCUCACCUAAGCGACGAACCCUAGCUGGUCUGAGAGGAUGACCAGCCAAACUGGGAAUUGGACACGGUCCAGACUCCUACGGGAGGCAACAGUGGGGAAUAUUGCACAAUGGGCGCAAGCCUGAUGCAGGCAUGCCGGGUGUAGGAAGAAGGCCCUCGGGUUGGAAAGUACUUUCAGCGGGGAGGAAGGGAGUAAAGUUAAUACCUUUGCUCAUUGACGUGACCCGAAGAAGAAGCACCGGGUAACUCCGUGC